GAUGAACGCUGGCGGCGUGCCUAAUACAUGCAAGUCGAGCGAACAGACGAGGAGCUUGCUCCUCUGACGUUAGCGGCGGACGGGUGAGUAACACGUGGAUAACCUACCUAUAAGACUGGGAUAACUUCGGGAAACCGGAUCUAAUACCGGAUAAUAUAUUGAACCGCAUGGUUCAAUAGUGAAAGACGGUUUUGCUGUCACUUAUAGAUGGAUCCGCGCCGCAUUAGCUAGUUGGUAAGGUAACGGCUUACCAAGGCAACGAUGCGUAGCCGACCUGAGAGGGUGAUCGGCCACACUGGAACUGAGACACGGUCCAGACUCCUACGGGAGGCAGCAGUAGGGAAUUUUCCGCAAUGGGCGAAAGCUUGACGGAGCAACGCCGCGUGAGUGAUGAAGGUCUUCGGAUCGUAAACCUCUGUUAUUAGGGAAGAAAAAAUGUGUAAGUAACUAUGCACGUCUUGACGGUACCUAAUCAGAAAGCCACGGCUAACUACGUG
rnacentral:rRNA from 1 species